CCUACGGGUGGCAGCAGUGGGGAAUAUUGGUCAAUGGGCGCAAGCCUGACCCAGCAACGCCGCGUGAAGGAAGAAGGCUUUAGGGUUGUAAACUUCUUUUAUCAGGGACGAAGCAAGUGACGGUACCUGAUGAAUAAGCCACGGCCAACUACGUGCCAGCAGCCGCGGUAAUACGUAGGUGGCAAGCGUUAUCCGGAUUUACGGGGUGUAAGGGGCGUGUAGGCGGGAGUGUAAGUCAGAUGUGAAAUCUAGGGGCUCAACCCAUGGCCUGCAUUUGAAACUGUACUUCUUGAGUGCUGGAGAGGCAGUCGGAAUUCGUGGUGUAGCGGUGAAAUGCGUAGAUAUACAGAGGAACACCAAUGGCGAAGGCGGAUUGCUGGACAGUAACUGACGCUGAGGCGCGAAAGCGUGGGGAGCAAACAGGAUUAGAUACCCGUGUAGUC
rnacentral:rRNA from 1 species